rnacentral:rRNA from 1 species
GAUGAACGCUGGCGGCGUGCCUAAUACAUGCAAGUCGAGCGAACGGACGAGAAGCUUGCUUCUCUGAUGUUAGCGGCGGACGGGUGAGUAACACGUGGAUAACCUACCUAUAAGACUGGGAUAACUUCGGGAAACCGGAGCUAAUACCGGAUAAUAUUUUGAACCGCAUGGUUCAAAAGUGAAAGACGGUCUUGCUGUCACUUAUAGAUGGAUCCGCGCUGCAUUAGCUAGUUGGUAAGGUAACGGCUUACCAAGGCAACGAUGCAUAGCCGACCUGAGAGGGUGAUCGGCCACACUGGAACUGAGACACGGUCCAGACUCCUACGGGAGGCAGCAGUAGGGAAUCUUCCGCGAUGGGCGAAAGCCUGACGGAGCAACGCAGCGUGGGUGAUGAAGGUCUUCGGAUCGUAAAACUCUGUUAUUAGGGAAGAACAUAUGUGUAAGUAACUGUGCACAUCUUGACGGUACCUAAUCAGAAAGCCCCGGCUAACUACGU